CCAGGUUUGCAGAUACUUUUAUUAAAGCUCUUCCGGGUGGCCAAAUGCCAGUGGAACCGACGGUAGGAGUAGAGUGGACAGUGAGUGAAAACUUGUUGAGUGACUCUCAGGAAGAGUUAGCACUCAAAUUUCAGGUAUACAAACUCAUUCUAACCACUCCAUUCACUAGACCUCAUGAUGAGGUUCCGCAGGAUCCCAGCUCCAGCUCAGGAUACAUUACUCAUUGCAGAAGAUUUUGAAUUUUUCUCUUCUCUCUUUCCAGCUUUUCCCAACACCGGCUGUGAGGUUUGUCCACGACUCCUCCAACAUUUAAUGGGAAAGGCGCUUAGAAGAAGGCAAAGUAGGGAGGACUUUGCGGCUGUAUUUCUCAAACCCGUAAAGGGAGAGCGAUAAUGGGUGAGGGGCGUGCAGACUAGCUCCUUCCUUGCCCAAUCAGGUGCACAGGAAGAUGUCCUUUUACCAAUAAAAAUAAAGUUCGCUUUCCGGAGGCGGGAGGGUGAGCCUUGACUGCCAGUUCUCCAAAGCAACGAUAGAAUAGAGGACAUAGAGUGAUUGGAGGUAGGACCAACCCAGGAAAAGGGGCGCGGUGGGGGGGGUGGGGGUAAUUCUGAGCGGCGGCUGGACUGGCCAGUGGAGUGCGAGGGUUGCUGUUCCUGUUGUAGUGUUGCUCGCCAAUCAGGAAGGCGAGGGAGUGGGCGGGGCGGGGAAGGGGUGGGAAGAGCUCGCAGCACCGCCGGGCGCCCGUCGGGCUCUGGGAGAGAGAGAGAAAUCCGGUUAAAAUCAGAGUCGGAGGGAGGUUUAACCACAGAUCGGUUCCGAUCGGAUUAUUCCUUAAAGGGGACGCGCCAUUGUCAAGAGAACGGAGCCUGGGGCCCGAGGGCGGGGACCGGCGGCGCCUGAGGAGCGAGGCAGCUGCACUUGGACUGGGGACGGGAAAAAAGACAGUGUGUAUCUCAGCACAGAAACUGGUGUGAAGUGCCAGUCACACAGGAUUCACGCCAAAAUGGUAAAGGAAUAGUCGAAUGAGAGAAGAAACCGAGAUGAGGAUCAUCCAUUUCAAAGACAACCAUUGUGAGACUACGUCUGUAUCCUAGCAGAUAAUCAGAUUAUUUUGAACGGCCAUUUUUUAUCAAACCUCAGGCACUUUGAUGCUGAUGCUUUCUUGAUGUUUCCAAGAGAUGUCAACAUAAGGUUUUCAGCAACUACAUCCUGCUCUUGGAUGACAGCAUUGUAAGAUAACGUCUCUUAUUUCGGAGCAUCCAUACUUUAGAGAGAUUAAAGUGUUGUUUUUAAAAA
rnacentral:lncRNA from 1 species